rnacentral:rRNA from 1 species
CAGGUUUACCUGUGUGACUGCGUACCUUUUGUAUAAUGGGUCAGCGACUUAUAUUCUGUAGCAAGGUUAACCGAAUAGGGGAGCCGGAGGGAAACCGAGUCUUAAUUGGGCGUUAAGUUGCAGGGUAUAGACCCGAAACCCGGUGAUCUAGCCAUGGGCAGGUUGAAGGUUGGGUAACACUAACUGGAGGACCGAACCGACUAAUGUUGAAAAAUUAGCGGAUGACCUGUGGCUGGGGGUGAAAGGCCAAUCAAACCGGGAGAUAGCUGGUUCUCCCCGAAAGCUAUUUAGGUAGCGCCUCGUGAAUUCAUCUCCGGGGGUAGAGCACUGUUUCGGCUAGGGGGCCAUCCCGGCUUACCAACCCGAUGCAAACUGCGAAUACCGGAGAAUGUUAUCACGGGAGACACACGGCGGGUGCUAACGUCCGUCGUGAAGAGGGAAACAACCCAGACCGCCAGCUAAGGUCCCAAAGUCAUGGUUAAGUGGGAAACGAUGUGGGAAGGCCCAGACAGCCAGGAUGUUGGCUUAGAAGCAGCCAUCAUUUAAAGAAAGCGUAAUAGCUCACUGGUCGAGUCGGCCUGCGCGGAAGAUGUAACGGGGCUAAACCAUGCACCGAAGCUGCGGCAGCGAACGUAUCACUUAAAGCGAUUCAGCGGGUUACGAUUGACGGAGCGAAGCGACGUCAAAGCGUAUACAAAGUCGAGUCGGUUUAAGGAUACGUUCGUUGGGUAGGGGAGCGUUCUGUAAGCCUGUGAAGGUGGCCUGUGAGGG